rnacentral:rRNA from 1 species
CCUACGGGUGGCAGCAGUGAGGAAUAUUGGUCAAUGGGCGCUAGCCUGAACCAGCCAAGUAGCGUGAAGGAUGACUGCCCUAUGGUUUGUAACCUUCUUUUAUAUGGGAAUAAAGUGCAGUAUGUAUACUGCUUUGCAUGUACCUUAUGAAUAAGGAUCGGCUAACUCCGUUCCAGCAGCCGCGGUAAUACGGAGGAUCCGAGCGUUGUCCGGAUUGAUUGGGGUUAAAGGGAGCGUAGGCGGGUUGUUAAGUCAGUUGUGAAAGUUUGCGGCUCAACCCUAAAAUUGCAGUUGAUACUGGCAGACUGGAGUGCAGGAGAGGUAGGCGGAAUUCGUGGUGUAGCGGUGAAAUGCGUAGAUA